rnacentral:rRNA from 1 species
AGAACGAACGCUGGCGGCAUGCCUAAUACAUGCAAGUCGAACGAACUCUUCGGAGUUAGUGGCGCACGGGUGCGUAACGCGUGGGAAUCUGCCCCUUGGUUCGGAAUAACAGUUGGAAACGACUGCUAAUACCGGAUGAUGACGAAAGUCCAAAGAUUUAUCGCCAAGGGAUGAGCCCGCGUAGGAUUAGCUAGUUGGUGAGGUAAAGGCUCACCAAGGCAACGAUCCUUAGCUGGUCUGAGAGGAUGAUCAGCCACACCGGAACUGAGACACGGUCCGGACUCCUACGGGAGGCAGCAGUGGGAAUA